GAGUUUGAUCCUGGCUCAGAUUGAACGCUGGCGGCAUGCCUUACACAUGCAAGUCGAGCGGCAGCGCGGGGGCAACCCUGGCGGCGAGCGGCGAACGGGUGAGUAAUACAUCGGAACGUGUCCUGUCGUGGGGGAUAAACCAGUCGAAAAGAUUGGCUAAAUACCGCAUGACCUCGUAAGAGAAAAGCGGGGGAACCGUAAGGCCUCGCGCGACUGGAGCGGCCGAUGUCGGAUUAGCUAGUUGGCGGGGUAAAAGCCCACCAAGGCGACGAUCCGUAGCUGGUUUGAGAGGAACGACCAGCCACACUGGGACUGAGACACGGCCCAGACUCCUACGGGAGGCAGCAGUGGGGAAUUUUGG
rnacentral:rRNA from 1 species